CCGUAGCCCAAGAGACUGGGAUAACACCUGGAAACAGAUGCUGAUACCGGAUAACAACACUAGACGCAUGUCUAGAGUUUAAAAGAUGGUUCUGCUAUCACUCUUGGAUGGACCUGCGGUGCAUUAGCUAGUUGGUAAGGUAACGGCUUACCAAGGCAAUGAUGCAUAGCCGAGUUGAGAGACUGAUCGGCCACAUUGGGACUGAGACACGGCCCAAACUCCUACGGAAGGCAGCAG
rnacentral:rRNA from 1 species